UACGGGAGGCAGCAGUGGGGAAUUUUGGACAAUGGGCGAAAGCCUGAUCCAGCAAUGCCGCGUGUGUGAAGAAGGCCUUCGGGUUGUAAAGCACUUUUGUCCGGAAAGAAAUCCUUGGCUCUAAUACAGUCGGGGGAUGACGGUACCGGAAGAAUAAGCACCGGCUAACUACGUGCCAGCAGCCGCGGUAAUACGUAGGGUGCGAGCGUUAAUCGGAAUUACUGGGCGUAAAGCGUGCGCAGGCGGUUUGCUAAGACCGAUGUGAAAUCCCCGGGCUCAACCUGGGAACUGCAUUGGUGACUGGCAGGCUAGAGUAUGGCAGAGGGGGGUAGAAUUCCACGUGUAGCAGUGAAAUGCGUAGAGAUGUGGAGGAAUACCGAUGGCGAAGGCAGCCCCCUGGGCCAAUACUGACGCUCAUGCACGAAAGCGUGGGGAGCAAACAGGAUUAGAUACCCUGGUAGUCCACGCCCUAAACGAUGUCAACUAGUUGUUGGGGAUUCAUUUCCUUAGUAACGUAGCUAACGCGUGAAGUUGACCGCCUGGGGAGUACGGUCGCAAGAUUAAAACUCAAAGGAAUUGACGG
rnacentral:rRNA from 1 species